UGGAUUCGAAGAAAACACGACGAAGAUCUCGAAUCCCUAGCUCUCCCCUUGCUCUAGCUCCUCAAGCUCUCUCUUCUCCUCUCAAGAACACAAGAACCAUGAGAAAUGAAUUUCUCUCUCUCUUCCUUGCCCUUAAUGGGCGCCCCCUCACACACACUCAAGGCCCAUUGGGCCUCAAGCCCAAUUGGCUUGGCCCAAU
rnacentral:lncRNA from 1 species